rnacentral:lncRNA from 1 species
UAAACCAUGAAUACUGGAUAUUACUCCAAUACACUUACAUUCACUACCAAGGUGCUUGGUACCUAGAAAUGCAGCAUUUACAAGGUUUAAUGCAUUUAAGAUUCAUCUACUCAUGUUAACAUUGGAGCACAUCUUGUAAACCACCAAGAAGAUGAAGAGGUGCUCUAAAAUGGUUUACUUAAGGGUUUAAUAAUUCAUCUAAUUAACCAAUAUUUGAGGGUUUCAUUUCGAGGUUUGCAGUCACCAUCCCAACGUAAGUUAAUAACAUAGAGCGGCCUCUCGGUCUUGAGAAUUAGAUGAUUCAUGGCAUGCAUACAUCCAUUAGUAUUGUCUAUCAGCAAAAUCAAAAAUGUUUCAUCAGCUUUCACCAACACAAAACCCACCAAGAUCUCAAAAUCCACAUGAUUUUAUAUUCCAAGGCCUCCUGCAUCAAGCUGCCAUCAUUUUGUUGCUGUACUAGUAAAAGUGGACUAUAUGUCUCUGGAUUUCUUCAUGGUAAGAUACUAGAGACUGAUGCAAGAAUAAAAUGCUCUCUAAUUUUACCCAUCCUUCAAAACAAGCCAUAA